rnacentral:rRNA from 1 species
UACGGGGGGAGCAAGCGUUGUUCGGAUUUACUGGGCGUAAAGGGCGCGUGGGCGGUCAGCACAAGUCAGUUGUGAAAUCUCCGGGCUUAACUCGGAAAGGUCAACUGAUACUGUGCGACUAGAGUGCAGAAGGGGCAACUGGAAUUCUCGGUGUAGCGGUGAAAUGCGUAGAUAUCGAGAGGAACACCUGCGGCGAAGGCGGGUUGCUGGGCUGACACUGACGCUGAGGCGCGAAAGCCAGGGGAGCGAACGGG